AGUGGGGACCUCUUCCUUUUGCCGUACUGGCUGGUACCCUGCCAUGAUGAUCUCUGUGACUGUCUGGCUGGUGAAUACCCUCAAUCGUUCCUGCAAGAAAUUUUGAAAACAGCAAACCAGACACAGUCCAAAACAGAGAAUUAAACAGAUUCUACAAUGUCAGGUGUCCUUCUUUUCAGUAGAUGAAUAGCCUUGAGUCUAAAAGAGACAAAACUGAUUAAGCAAUUGAAUAUGCAUAGCCAAAUUUAAGAAGCAGAAUGGAAAGACAGAUUGAGGAAAGAAGCCAAGUCCAGACACUGUUCUUAAGGGGUUGAAGUAUGAAUUGUAACCAGCUAAGUCUUCAACCUGCUUAUUCAUAGAGGUUAUCUAUAAGUCUCAUUUUUAUUGUUUUUAGAUCUUUCUCCACCUAAUGUAAAUUAUUUGUCUAAAUACAAGGAAUUUAAAGACUCUUAUUGAGCUUUUAUAGCUGUCAUUGUGACUUAUUGGCCUCAUUAAACUAUAAUAGUGAUAAGCUAUAGGUGUAGGGGGAGACAGUUAGCAGGGGUCAGUGUAGUCAUUGGAGUGCCCUUUUUAUAUCUAGCCUACAUUAUUAGCAUUUUAAUAUUUUUGUUAAACUUUCUUCCUGGGUGUUUAAGAUCAAAUUAAGGUGAGAUUUGUGUUAAUCAAAAUUAAUCUCUCUCUCUCUCUCUCUCUCUCUGUCUGUCUCUCAUUAAGGCUCCUCCUCAGAGAUUAUUUUUGGGACCAUGUAAAGAGUCUCUUAUCUCCUCUGUCAGUGUAACCUGCCAGGAUGGGUCAUGGUCUUGCCUGACUAUAAGGCUUCCCAGUGAAGUACAGGAGGUGAUUCCCUCUUUGGUGACUCUCCUUUAUAGCACCAUGUCCUCUGGGGUCCAACAAUCUCCCUGCUCAGGAAGUUUGGUGACUUAUCAGACUUGUAGAAUCCUUUUGGAGAAGUCCCCUCAUGUCUUGUGUCCUUGAUUGCCUUGGAGGGCCAGGGCCAGCCAAAAUAUUGGUUGUCCUCUUAGCCUAGUUAUCUUUUAAGAUUUGGCCUCUAAGCCUUAAUUGCUGAACACACAGAAGGUCAGUUCCACCAGUACUGACGUGGAAGGAGUAGGUUUAGCUAUCAUAAUUUUUUUAUCUGAAUAUCAAGCACUUUGAAAUGUAAAGUAUAGCCAGAAAACUGGUGGGGGUUUUGUUUUAUUUUGUUUUGUUUUGCUUUUUACCAAUCAUGUUUGUCUUAAAAGUCCAAUUCCCAUAGAAUGUUAACAGAUAACAGUUACAGAGUUUUCCAGGGAAAUUUUGAAAUCAAGGGCAAAGUAACAUUUUAACACAACAAUUAUGUGACAUUAUUUUAUUAGAACCAUAAGGCUUUUUAUUUCUGAAAAUAUAUGUAAAUUCUUAUUUUAGUAUAAAAUAACUUUUUAGUCACUUACCUUUAUCUAAUUUCAAAAUAUUAAGUGACAUAAAGAAGUUUUUACCUAAAUUUGUUAUCUUUUUUUUUUUUGGUACCAGGGUACCGGGGAUUGAACUCCGGUCCUUGUGCGUGCGCAGCAGGUGGUGAAACCACUGAGCCAAAUCCCUGGCCCUAAAUUUGUUAUAUUUUAAAAGUGCCAUUUAAGUAGAAUGUACUUCUUUAUAGAUGUACUUUAUAGGUUAAUAAUGUCCAUUCUUAAAUCUUUGGAGUGUCAUUGCCUGGACUGCAUGUUGUUUAGCCACCUCUGACUAUUGUAACACAAUUGCAUAAUAACCACAUAAACAUAAGCAUGAAAAAUUAUCCAUAUCACCUGGCUGUCUGUCUCAUGUUGGGUUGGUGGGUACAUUUCAUCAAAGUAGCUGGACCACAAGCAAAGGAAAGCCAGAUGAUUAAGUUACAAGUUAACCAUCAAAAACAACUUUAGCUUGGAAGUCAUCAGUACAAUAAGGUGUUUUCUUAAGUUUUGUAUCUUUGAAGGCCUGUACACUUGAGAAACACAAAUACAUCUAAUAUACCAUCAGGUCAGCGCUAAUAAGCUUUACAGGUACAUAGAUAUCUUUACACAUGUUUACUUAGUUUUUACUCUUAGGAAAAAAUUUAGACACCUUUAAUAAGCUUACUGACAACAAUUAAGGACAUCUUUAGAGCUCUAAUAAAUUUAGGAAACAGGGCUGGGGAUGUAGCUCAGCAGCACUGUGCCUGCCUGACAAGCGCAAGGUCCUGAAUUCAAUCCCCAGUGUUGGGAGCAACGCUACGUAAUUUUAGGGUAAAAUCAUUUGGUUAGCCUAGUUCUCCUGCCUACAACCCAGCUAUGGAAUUCUGAGACAUAAUUCCAUUUUGGCCUCCGGUCACAACUGAGACCUCAAUGAUCUGGUGAUGCUGUGAUGCUCCAGGACAAGAUUACACCAGCGGGAGACAUCCUGAGAGGAACAAAGUCUUCAUCUACUCAGUUCUUCAUUGUUCUUGGAUUGUUACAUCAUGUUUACAGGGAUGUGCUGAACUCUCUGCAAGCCAAACACCAGGGGUGAAAUUAAGUCAACCUUACCUGAGCAGCCACCCAGAAUUGCCAUUUACAGAGCCUGUGAAUGCUGUGGAGAGAUGACAUUGACUUGGUGUUGGGAGAACCAAGCAGGCAGGCAUGGUUAUACAUGGUGAGAUGACAGCUCUGCAGUUUCCAGAUGCAAGUAUCCAGCAGCCAUGGAUGGCAACAUCAGAAACCCUGGGACAAACACCAUAUACUCGAUGUCAACAGUCAUUUUCAUCCACUACAACUGAUGUCUAUCAGAUUCCAACAUGCAACUCAUUUCUAAUUAAUUGAGCAGAGGUCAACCAGAUAGGCAGCUGUCCUGUCACCACUUAACUUAGAGUUGAUGCUUUCUUCAUUGAACAGAAAUACCCCUGUUCCAAGUGUUACGAAUUUCAGAAAUGGGGGGAAUAUAUAUUUAACACAGUAAGAGUAGGAGAAUUAUGAUGAAAGGUGGAUUAAAGUGUAUAUUCUGUGGCAAUGUUGUCCCACAAACUCAAAACCCUGAAUGAAUCUAAAUGUUGAGCGUCUUUGGUUCUAGGUGUUGGGAGCCAGAGGUCCUCCUGCUUAUAGGGUCCUUGUGCUAUCUGAGGAGGCAGAACCUCAGGAGCCCAUCUGCACCAUCACCAGGUCCUUGGGAUCCCUGGGCCCACAGACUUUUGAGAGGCACUGCUUGGGGCACAAAGAGAGCGGGCUGUGAGGGCAGCAGGCUUAGAUGGGCAGAGGAUGAGGCUUGGGUCCACCUGUACUCCAGCUCUGGGCACAGGCUCUUGCAUUUGAAUCUGUCCCCCAUUGUUGCUGCUAGGGCCACCCAAGCAAGGCACAGUUCUUCCUCAUUGCUAGGGGAAGGGCUACUUCAGGACCUACUUUACAAAUUGUCCUGGAGAUGGCAGGAAGCCCCUGGUGCAUAGUAUGUCCCCAGUAAAUGUUAGAGAUUUCUAUCCAAGCUGCCUUCCUUGGCACUACUCUUGGGUCUAUGAGGGGCAGUUUUUCAUCAGCUCAGGUCCAGAUUUGCCCUUGCAAAACACACUAGUUCGAUGCCUGAAAUCUCUUUACCCUAAAGUGACCUUUGGAAGGAGAAUCUGGCAACGCAUUUUUGAGAAAAAUUUUAUUUGUAGACCAUUGUAGAUUCCCAUGCAGUUGUAAGAGGUGUAAUCAAAACAUACAGUGAAUGUUUAAAUUUUAAAAAUGUAUUACGGUACAAGACACACUGCAGUUGAUCCUCCUCAAAAUACUCUCCCUCACUUUGAAGGUAGUUAUUCCAUUGUUCUUAAUACUUUCUGAAGCAGUUCUAGAAAUAUUUUUUCCUGGGUGCUUUUAUGAGUGAUGACAAAAAAAAAAAGAUGGUGACUGCUGCUGCCAAGUGCCAUCCAAGAGAAAGGCAGGCUUGUAAAAGCAUGAUGGUGUGUCCUCAUCCACCUUGUUCACUAACCUAACACCAUAGAACUUCCGCUCUUCCCCAAAGAUAAACUUUCUAAAUUAAUUCAGGACCUCAAGCCAGCUAUGACAGUGCAACUAAAGACACAAAAGAGGACUUCCAGAGCUGCUCCAGAAAGUGGCAAGUACUGUGGGAUAAGCCUGUUCAAAGCGAGGGGAAGUAUUUCGAGGAGGAUCAAUGGCAGUGUUCUUUUAUUGGAAUAAACUUUUAAACACUUAAACAUUCUCUUUAUUUUUUGACCAUAGUACAUACUCUGUUAGGAAGUUCAAAGGUGCCUUGUAAGUUGUGAGAAAGAUUAUGCCCUUCCUCAGCCUCCCUCAAUGGAGACAUCUUCUAAAGCAAUAGUGUGCAAGAUUAAAAUUGGGUAUUAAUGUUGAUACCACCUACUGAUCUUAUUUCGGGUUUCUCCAGUGUCACUUGCACGUGUGUGUUAACUUCAGUGCAGUGUUCUGACAUGCCCUUGUCACGUACAUGUACAGCCACACUUAUUAAAUAGUUUGUCCAAA